UCUUUCAUGAUCCAGAUCAUCUUGGACAGAGCACGGUCCCAAUCUGGUCAUUGAAUCGGUAGCGGCACUGGGAUCUGCUGCAUCUUCGGUUAACAGCUUGUGUGAUUCGACCAUAGGCGUGUGCCCCUCUACGGCUGAGGUUCUUCGGGCCCCCAAGCUUCGUGAUGUUCCAUCGUUUGGUCCCGAUAUUCAUCAGGUGAGUAAGAAUUCUCCGUAAGCUCCACCGGUCCCGUCGGCUCCUCCUCAUCCCGCUGCAUCUCAGGUCUCAUCCCCGCCAUCUCAGAUUUCUUUCCCGUUUUGGCGGACCUAGGGAUUUUUUUGCUCAAAGCCUGGGCACACCGCAGUCUCUCCGAGAUAGGGCACGCCGCCGUGCGUCGUCCCGUUUGGUCGGUCUGGCUCGCAAGGAAGACGAACAGAUAGAUAGAUCGAUCGAUUCGUGUGUCGGUCGGUCUGGCUUCGUUAACAGUUUGGUUCGGAUUAUAGUCAACGGGCCAAGGCCAAGUGUUUGGCGAAAAAAAGUCAAUGGGCCAAGUUGUGCUGCGAGGAAACAGGCCCGAUGGCCAGUGAAAGUGAUACACGUUUUUUCAGCCCAUUGCGUUGAAUUCUUGCAGUUCCAGCACCGUAUGUAUCAUGUAUGUCGCCCAGGGAGCUCGCCGGAGUUCGUGCAAGUGGCGGCGCCGAGCCCGGGCGGUUAAUAGAGACCUGGUUCGGUACACCCGGAGCGCCUGCGCAAGAUGAGGAGGAGGAGGAGGCACUCCUCGAGGGCCAUCUCAUGUGAGGAUCUGACCCAACCCUCUCCUCAAAUUUUCCGUUCCUUAGUAUCUUCUCUUAGUUAGUUUUGCUGUGUGUCUUCGUUUCGGUGCUUUCGGGCUCCUCCUCGAUGGAGUUGGAACUAGGCCAGGGAUUUUCUAGUGCUAUACGUUAGCUGAUUUGAAAUGCUUAUACCUUUGGACUUGUGGAAACACUUACGAUUGAUGGAUUGAUUAUUGUUCUCGAUGGAAUUGGACGAACAUAAAAUUUUCUUAGGAGAGGGGCGGUACGCGAUUCACUCCAGUGCAAGAUGACCUGCAGAGAACAGUUGUAUCUGAAAUCUCCGUGUACCAACAUUUUGUCCCAAAAAUCUCCCACAAAUCAUGUUUUAUACCAAUGUCGAAUCUUUAUGCCCGCUCCUGGUUUCAUGAAACUGUAAGUUUGGGCAAGCCAGAUCAAGUUGCUAAUUUAUCGAGUUAAAAUAGACAUGCCAAAUGUGCAUUUGUAGGUUCGUGUAUAAUUUUAGUGAGUGAUCCAUGGUAGUGCUAACUAUGUAGGUGCAUAGAAGUGCAUUGCUUUUGUCUCUGAAUAUUUUCAACUAAUUUUUUGGAUUUUUUUAGGAAUUCUUAUUAUUUUCGUGGAAAGCACCUACAAGCCCGAUUGAAAAGGCCCUUAAUACAUUUGGUUAUGUCCAGGUAACAGAUGCCCUGCAUCUCAGAUUUGUUUCAUGGAAAGCCUUUGCGUUUCUUUUCAUUGAAAAAGAGAGAGUUUUGCUUCCUCCCUCUAAACCUGUUGUAACGCUCCUUUGAUUGCUCCCUUUGGGAGAGGUUAAUAUAUUGUUCAGGCUGACGCAAGCCCGCCGUAGUCCAGGUCAAAAGAGAGAGAGAGAGAGUUUGUUGUUACACGCCUCCUAAGAGGUUAAGGUUCCGGAUUUUUACAUGCCCUGCAUCUGAGGUUAUGUCAAAAGCUACAAUUCAAACUAUGCUUCACUAAACAAAAAUUGUGUCCUUAUUUCCAAAGUUGAAUAGUUAGUGGCGUCUCCAUAUUCUGUGAACAUCUAUCUGUACCACAUCUCUUACUUCCUUAUGCCCAAACUUACAUUUGCCAUUUUGCCAUUUUGUUCGACUAUGUCUAAUUGUGCCUUUGUCUGGGUUUGUCAGAUCGCUUUUCACUUUUUCUAGGUCAUUACUCAUGAAAUCUACAAGGCUAGAUGGAUUAGUUAUGGAGUGUAAAAUAGGAAAUCUGGGUUGGUUAGUGUUGGUAUACUUAUGUGUAAUACUAGAAGUAUAGGAGGGUGGAAUUGUAAAAGGUACUUUGUAUAUGUGUAACCAGUGAAGAAUAGAGAAAGUAGAGUAGUUCCAGAAAAAUCUACAAUCCCCAUUGAGUGUUCCUGUAGCUCUGGUGGUCUCCAGCGAUUACGACAUGGUAUCAGAGCAGGAGGCAUCGGUCGACCCUCGCCGGUGGUGAGUCGGUAGCGUGCGGCGGAGCUCUAGGCAGCCAGGGGAGUUGGUGCAGGCGGGGACAAGAUCCAAGAGAAGGGCAACUGUCUGGGAGGAGGCGUUGUGCUGGUGCGGAGCCGGCGGCCGGCAGCGUGCAGAAGUACGGGCUGGAGGAGGUGGGCCUUGGAGGUGAUUCCAGGUCCUGGUGCUCGUGGUGUGGUAUUGCAAGUGGUGAAGAUUGCCAGGGAAGCUGCUGUGUACUUGAGAGAAGGAGCGACCAGAAGGAAGGAGGAAUUGCUGUAUUGACUGAAUGAAGAGGUGGCUGGUUUUUCUGUGUGUUGACUAUUGAGAUUUCAGAAGAGGGGACCGUUGCAGGUUGGUCUGAAACUCUGAGGAGAGAGUUGUGGCAGAGGAUAAAAUUGCUGCUAGUGGUGUGCUGUUAGCAGAACCAUGAAGAUGUCAAGGUCAGUGAACACAUUUGAUAAAAUUUGUUUUAGGACAUGCGAGGGCAUGUUGUCCUGAACUGAUCAGAGAAGGUUAUGGACACAGUCAGAAUUGGUAUAACAGAGAACGUGGUUAUGGUUUCGGUAUGCGGGAUUGUGUUGCAAAGUCUUGGCGGAGAAGUGGGGAUUGGCUGUGUCCAGAGCAAGCUGUGGAAAUGUAAAUUUUGCAUUCCGUGGUGCUUGUAAUCGUUGCAUAACUGUACGUCCUUCUAGUGUCAGUGGAUUAUGUGCUGGUAGAGGGUCUCAAAAGGUCACUGUCCGGAUGACUGUUGAUGAUUUGAAAAAAUGGUACCAGUUCAAAAAUUGGUACCAGGUCAAAGGUACAGAACAUGGUGAUAAGAAAAUGUGUGAAGUUGAUGCUGUCUGUGCUAAGCAUUGUAGUAAUAUCUCAACUCCUGUUUGGUCUGAUCGCAAAGGUGCACCAUGGAUGAUUGAUUCAGGUGCAUCUAGACAUAUGGCUGGUUCCUAUGGAGAAUUUCAUGAUUAUAUUCCUGAGAUAGGUAACCAAAGUGUUAAAUUGGCCGAUGGUUCAGCUCAAGCCAUCACGGGUUCAGGAAAAGUUAUAUGUAAUCCUAACUUGUCACUUUCAUCUGUGCUCCAUGUUCCCACAUUCCCAAUUAAUCUCAUGUCCAUAAGUUGUAUCACUCGGGAACUUAAUUGUGCUGCUAUUUUCUUCCCAUCAUGGUGUAUAUUUCAGGAACUUGGGACUGGAAAAAAACUCGGGAUGGGAAUCUUACGCGAUGGCUUAUAUUACCUGGACAAGGAGGUGUCACCCUUUGUUGCAGGCUUGCAGCUAUGUUAUCUUCUUCACAAUUAGAAGAGUUUCUACUGCAACAUCGCAGGUAUGGACAGCGAGACAGGGGGAGACAAAGAAGGAAAUAGUGAAACAACAUCUAGAAAGAUGAUUGUUGGAGUAAUUCCAACCGGAGAUGAGCCUGAUGGUAGAGAUGAAGAUACAUCAAAUGCUGAACAAGAUCAAGAUCACACUCAGGGGGAGCAGCAAGAGCAUCCAACCGGAGAUGAGCCUGAUGGUAGAGAUGAAGAUACAUCAAAUGAUGAACGAGACACUCAGGGGGAGUAGGAAGAGUAUCAAACUGAAAGAUCAAGGUGGCCACAAAACCUGGUGUACUCACGGAGACAGAGAGCUGAGGAUGAUCAAGUGCAAGGGGAGGAAGAAAUCUCUUUGAGUCAGAAUCCUGACGCUCAAAUACAGCCAGAUUUACAUGACUCAAGUUCAAGUCCCUCUACAAGUGAUGGAAGCGAAGAGGUGCCCCACAUGGAGAGAUGCCAUGCUAGAAGAAAUGGCAGCACUUGACAAGAAUAACACAUGGGUGAUGAUGAUGAAGAGAUAUCGAGGUUAAAGAAGGCAUUGGCAUGUUCAUUUGAAGUCAAAGACCUGGGAUACCUUCACUACUUUCUUGGGAUUGGGGUUGUUUACGGUGCACAAGGUAUUUAUCUCUCUCAAAGGAAGUAUGUACUUGAUUUACUUGCUGAGACUGGAAUGUUAGAGUGUAGACCAGCACCCACACCUGUUGAGCAAAAUCUUCGAAUAUUAGCAGAUUCUGGUGAGUCAGUGGACAAAGGUAGAUAUCAAAGAUUAGUGGGGCGCUUAAUUUAUUUAUCACAUACUAGACCAGACAUUGCAUAUGCGGUUAGCAUUGUGAGCAGAUACAUGCAUGACCCUAGAACCAGCCACUUGGAUGCUGUAUACAGAGUUUUAAGGUAUCUAAAAGGGUGCCCGGGUAAAGGAAUUUUAUUUUCUAAUUAUGGGCAUCUUAAAAUAGAAGGAUAUACUGAUGCUGAUUGGUCUGGAUGUCUAGACGAUAGAAAGUCAACCGCUGGCUAUUGCAUGUUUUUGGGUGGAAAUUUAGUUAGCUGGCGGAGUAAAAAGCAGAGUGUAGUUGCACGUUCAACAGCUGAAGCUGAGUUUAGAUCUAUGGCAUCAGGUUUAUGUGAACUGAUGUGGUUGAGGAUACUAUUGUCAGAGCUUGGACUGCUUGUUAACGUACUGUGAUAACCAAGCUGCUAUUAACAUAGUUCACAAUCCGGUUCAUCAUGAUCGAACUAAGCAUGUCGAGAUAGAUAGGCACUUUAUUAAGGAGAAACUAGAUAAAGGUGUACUCAAAAUUACUUAUGUUAGGUCAUCAGAUCAACUAGCAGAUAUGUUGACAAAAGGUGUGAGUGUGGUAUCAUUUGUAAAUAUUUGUAGCAAGAUGAGGCUCAUUGACAUCUUCACCUCAUCUUGAGGGGGAGUGUUGGUGUACUUAUGUGUAAUACUAGAAGUAUAGGAGGGUGGAAUUGUAAAAGGUACUUUGUAUAUGUGUAACCAGUGAAGAAUAGAGAAAGUAGAGUAGUUCCAGAAAAAUCUACAAUCCCCAUUGAGUGUUCCUCUAGCUCUGGUGGUCUCCAGCGAUUACGACAGUUAGUCAAAGAAAACUCUGGCCUUCUGUUCAAAAGGAUGGGGCACAUAUACUUCAGCUCUGUUUUUAGUUUAACCUUUAGCUCUCUUUACACACAGAAAUGGAGAAUUUGUUAUGAUGAAAUAGAAACACUGGAAGCUAGGACUCUGAAUCAACCAUUAUGCUGUAGCAAACCUUUGCACAUGUAAACUAGCUAGCUUGGUUACACGGAAUUUUAAAAUACCUGAUUCACACCAAGAUACGGUUCGCCACGACUACAAACUCAACUCCCCAAAUUCAGGUCUCCAAAUUUUGCGAACCUCUAAUUUCAGCCAAGUAGAUCAAACUACGAACUAUGGUUUAUACACGGAGGGAGAGGUGAACUGAUGCCUGUUUGAAGUAGAUCCUGUGUCCGUCGCCAUCCAGGCAGCUGAUGAAAGAAACUACAUCGGAUUGUUGUUGCAUCUGUUCACAACCUUGGUAUUGGCAGCCGCCAGUCGCUCCUAUUCCCAGUCAACAUGCAAGUAACUUCCUAUGCUUAAAUGCCCUGCGCAGUAUUUUUUUUAAUCAUAUAACUCUCUUCUAAAGCAGCGACUUCAUACAGCUAGAUAUGUUGUGAGCAUAUUGCAUGUUUAAGUCAAUUGGGAUGGACUGAUCUUGAGUUGCAACAUAGGUUAUAUAAAUUACUUUAACAAGAAAAAUGUACAGGAGGAUUGUAAAACUCUCUAUCUUUUCAAUGCAAUAAAACGCAAAAGUCUUUUGCGUUUUCUUGAAAAAUAAAAAUGUACAGAACCAAUUGUAUGGAGUAUUCUUUUCUUUAUGCAUGAAUCAUGUAAAAUUAAUUUACUAUUACGAAAUAAAUAUUCAUGAGCUAGAUAAAUCACUUAAAUCAAUGUCAAGUUAAUCAACACAUAAAUAAUAGGAAUUACACGCUUUUUUAGAACUGCAUAUGGGUGGACUAUUGUCUGAAUCUCUUUUUAGCUUAAGGAGUAUCUUGAAUUUUAUGUGAAAAACUACAACUUUUUGUGCUUAUCCAUUUAUGAUUAUAAGCGCUAAACCUGAAGUGAAUUGAAUCAUGUCUGAAUUCAACCAAGUCUAAGGUCCCUCUCUAAUAUCUUUUGUGCAGGUCUGACAUGAAUGGAGGACUGUUAGUUCUCCAUGAUCGAAAACAGUGUAGCAAUAUCUUAUUUGUAAUAUUCGUAAGUUAAUUAAUGUUCAGUUUUUCAUUUUAUCAUUUACUGUUUGCACCAUGUUUUUAUAUAUGAUGGCCACACACUACAAAACAGCAGUAGCGUACCUGAAUCUUUGUUGGAGUUAGAAGGCAAACUGUCAAAAGUAUCUUCUGCUAUUCACAAUUCUGUUCACCAUAGAUCUAUGAAUUUCUGAAUCGUCUUGUUAAUUUUUUGGCAUCAGAUGUUUUUCCUAAAGAUCUAACACCCAAAAAUCUCCUUCCAGAGCAGUAGUGAUGCCCUCUUCUAUCAUCUCCUGUGAACCAUUGAAAGACACUACUUAAAGUCUUAUGUUUCGAGAUAUUGUAAGAACCUAUAGCAUAUGACAACAUAAUCAUGAGUUUAUCCUAUUCCUAAGUCAUCUAAUUCCUGCAAUCCGAGGGAGACCUUAUAUAUUUUGAAAAAACAUUAUAUGAAGAUGGUUAUGACGCAAUCAAUUAAAUUAUUAAAAAUAUCCAUAAAUAACAGAAAUCAUGUGGAUUACUGUAUAUAUGGAUUAAAAAGCCAUGUAAAUCUACCUGUCGACGGAACACAGACCUGCAAAAUGGAUGUGUUUUGUAUCUCUUGGGUUGUGUUCCUAUAUCUCUUACCGAGCUGAGCUGCUGAACAUGUAAAAGAUACCUCAAUGGCAAUGAGGUUGGCAUAGACAUAAAAUAAGUUUCCUGUGUUGUAGGCUCUUUCCUUGCAGCAAGCCACAAAAAUCUUGUGAUGAUCCAAGAUAUCACUAUAAAUGUUAGGCACCGGAGGGAGAGUGGGAUCAAUAUGUUACAACGGCAAUAUUUAUCAUUUAAGCUUAGUAUCAGUGACAAUGUUCCUACAACUGCAAUGCUAAGCGUAUAUGCUUAUUAUUAGUGAAGUGUUUGAUUUUCGUAAGCUAUUCUUCUUCAUACAUUUAUCUCAUGAACAAAUUUGAAUAUGGUCAGUUGGUAUUUAGGAAUUCCUUGAAUUGGUUAAUAAUGAUCAUUCCAACAUAUAUAAACUAAAACAUAAAGUUAAACUGGUUGAAUAACCACGGUAAGAAAGAGACAAAAGACAAUUCUUAUUUUGUGCAAAAAAGAUCCAAGCUCUGUCUAAACUACUAUGUUGCUGGAAACUCUACUCGAAAAUGGUAUAAAAGGCUUCAAGUUUUUAUGUAUCUCCACAAUGGGUAUUUAAUCAAAUUUAUUAAUAAGUUUCCUUUUUUAUUGGCUUUCUUUCUGUGUUAUUGGAAUAGUAUCUCACUAUAUGAGCGGAACAUGGAAUUCAUUAAUUUUUGUAUGAUAAAUAGAGCUGAUGUAGAUGCCUUUACAUUUCUUUUUCUUUGUAUGUAAGGAUGGAGGCAUAUAUGGUCUUUAUACCUAAUGGUUCCCAUCUGUCUUCUGAACCCCCUUUUCAAUGUGUGCAGCAGUGCAGCCAUCCCUUGCAGAUUUGAGACCAGAUUAUUAAACUGAUAUUUACUCUAUAUAUGUGGUGAUGUACAUGAUAUAAGUCUAUAUCAUAUAUUCAAUCAGUAAGUUUCCUUAGUUUUUUACUGAUAAAUAUUUUGACACAGUAAGUUAGAUGCAUGCAUUUGUUACCUAGGUACACAAAUAAUAGUUGGUAGCCGAGACAUCUUGCUGGUAAUUAAUAAUCAAGUCAAGAUUUUAUUUAAUCGGGAAAAUUUUCACCCCAUCCCAUCCUAAUUGCGGCCAAUUUUGGUUAAUACUUCCUUAGAAUUUCUCACUAAAAACAAAUCAUUUGACAUAAAAGAUGUGAACAGUACUAGCAGUUACAAUUUUUUUUUAUGAUGCUCACAAAUCAUGCUACAACAGGAUAAGACAUGGGAUUUUAUAUUGCAGUUAUCAUGACAAAGGGAUUUCUUCCAUACGUUUCUUCAGUAAUUAGUUCUUUUCCUGAAAGCCAAGGAAGAAUGUUGCACCGCUUAUUCUAUAUGGAUGGAAGAAAGAGCAUAAUAGAUAAAAUGAUUGCCCUAUGAAGGACUAAUUUAUGCUCGAUGAUCCUCUGCACUUUCCUAAUCCAUCUCAAUGGAAAUACGUUAGCACUGUAGGCUGCUACAAGUUUGCUUUAUCAAUGUACUUCCUUCCGUCAUUUAAAAUGCUUCUUUUGCUAAUUGUGCAUUAAUCUAAGUUGUAAGCCGGGCUAGCAACCCAGCUGCUUAGAGCCCCCGGCGAGGCGCAUUUCUGGCAAAUUAAACUAGCGAGUCAAGCAUAUAUUUACGUGCAGAUUUAAUCCAACGUGAUCCUCAAAUUUUUGUAAGCAUAACCUUGCAGUCACAUACUACUAUGAGCUACUACUGGACCAUUUGAAUGAUAAAAAGUUCAGGCUAUCGUUCUUAAAGGUCCAGUCUACCUUGCUGUAGCUUUUAAGAACUGAUACUUUCAUAUGUGAUAUUCAGUUCACUAGAUUCAGAGAAUUAAUUAAUAGUACAUGUUUUAGAUUUUUUCUUAUAAGACUAAAAUUCUCUGUCCUGUGCUUGAUAUUCAUUCGUGAACGACCCCUGCCGCCUCUCUUCUCCUCUAGGCUACUCCAAGUCUUGUACCAUUCGCUAUCGACUCGGCUACUCCUAGUCCCUUUGGCCCAUUCUCCUCUACUAGAACUGGAACAAUGACCCGACAGAGGCUCCCAGUCCACUACAAUUUUUUAGUUCUAUUUAUGUCGAAACUUCAACCCAUAACUUCACUUUUGUAGGUAGGAUCAAUCCUUAACUUCAGUUUAUACAUACAUGUAACUACUGCUCUUUUUAGUUCGGUUCAUGUCCAUGCUUCAGACCUUAAACCUUAAUUUCUCUUAGCAGGCAUAUUGUAGUGUUACAUGGAUCCUCCUCUUCAGUUCAUACCUUACAUGCCCAACAAAUCAUUGACCUGAGAAUUUAAUAUGGCAUUUAACCUUGUACCUUUCUUAUUUGUUCAACAUUAUUCAUUGCGCAGAUUUCCUCUGACUCUUACCAUUUCAAAUUAUCAACAAACAGAAGGAAACUCAGGGUAUAAUUGGAUAAUUUUGGGAUCUAUGGUCUGUGGUAAUGGAGCUCGAUUUUAGCGAGUUAAGUAUGCCAUAAUAUAUUUCCCUCGGCUAUGCAUGGCUGCUUUGGGUAAACAAUGUCCAAAACUGAAGCCCAGCUAUGCAUGUAUGAUAAAAUCAAUCCAUUGUACAAUCUAAUUGAACUAUACCUCCAUUACAAAUGUUGUGAUGUACCUACAAGUCUGAUUUUUCUAUUGGAUGGAUUCAGUCAGCUGUCACUUGAUGAUAUGUGAGCUAUAUUAGCAUGGCUAUCUUGCAUAACUUCCAAUUCAGCUUACACUGCUUGAUCUUUUUUUAGGAGAUUGAUCUUUUCUUUAGGAGAUUGAUCUUUUUUAUAUUCCUUCAGCGACUGGAUAAUUAAGAGACAAGUAGGAGAGGAACUAGAAUUGACAACUUAAAUUGAUGGAUGGCUGGCAUGCAUCACUCUUUUCCUUUUUUGGAUGUUGUAGAAAUCAGUUUGCUGCUGAUAUCUUUUGACAUAUUUUGAAAACUAUCAGACAACCAUGGCAGGUUUUGGGGUCGUGGUGACAUCUCCUUUCGCAGUGAAAAAUGUUUUGAUCAGGUAGAUUAAGUAUGUAUUUUCCUGGCAGAUCCAUACAUUAAUAUCAUUCAUUCUAUAGCAUCGUUGGAUCGAGAAUGACAUAUAAAGGAUUGUUGGUGUAAUAUUUCCUCUUGGGGUGAUUGCCAAAAUUCAAGCAUGUGAUUUAGAACUUUAAGUACCGAGUAAUGCCGAGAAUUAUGUGAUUUAGAACAAUAAUCCAUGUAUCUCUGUGUUGUUUCCAAGUUUGAAACCAAUUUUCCAUUCAAAGAUUAGCAGACUUGGUUCUAUGCAUAAUUCAUUGCUUCAUGUCAGGCCCUCUAUAACAGAGUUAUGUAUCCAGGUUUGCUUUGCUUAUCCUGUUUGUAAAUAGUCUUUUCAGAUUUGGCUACCUGCUGGUACUUACCUGAUCUUGACUACCAUUAUACCCAUAAUGAUAAACCCUUUUGUGGUUUGAAUUUUCUUAUAGACCAUGAUUUUAUUUCAUCUACCAUCUUGCUAGCUUGAAGAACAAACAUGCCUAAACCUACUGCCCUAUUAUGAAUGUUUUAAAAAGCCAUGUGUUCUAUAGAACGAUUAAAUAUUUUGCUGAUAUGAUGAGACGUGAAAACAGUUGCUAGCAUAAAACCACCACAUUCGCUGCCAAAUCUUCGUUUUGGACCACUUUGUAUUUCGGGAGCAAAAUUCGUCGGUUUCCCAAAAAACAUUAAACCGUCUAUGAGCACGAAUUGGCAUGAUUUCUGCCAAUCCUGGCCCCAUUGUCAGAGCUGGUGUGUCACCAACUAGACGCCUUCAGACACGGUCUUUAAUGGUCCGUGGGUCCCACCCACUUUUCGGCCGUUUAAUCGUGCGCGGCCGUUGACGCCGGGGUCAGUCGCGACCUUUCUCCCCCACUCACUCGUUUGUGCCGAGGCUGCUCCGCUGUGGUUCCAUCGUCGCCGUCUCCGCCGAUCGUUCGCACCGCCAUGCCAAGCUGGAAGGACGGCGAGAGCUCGACGGAGCAGCUGGAUGAACCGAUGGACAUGGACUAUGUCCCUAAGACUUGCGAGGACAUAUCAUUUGUAGGAAUAGCUGUCGGUGGAGAGCGUUGCCGCGUGCAUAAUUUGGAGCCAAACAGAUGCGUGGCUUUUGAAGGGAUGAACACCGGGAGGAGGUUCUACAUGUGCUCCGUCGGUCAUAUUCUGUACAAUUGUGGUUUUGUGGCCUGGGUUGAUGAAGAGUGGCCAGCUACUCUUCAAAAUGCUCUGAGAAAGCUGUGGGCAAUGUACCAUGAGGCCAACAAUACAAUAAUAGAAGAGAGGAUCAAGAACGCCAAAUUGGUGCAGGAGUUGGUUGAGGACAGGAACAAGUUCAAGAACUACAACACACUGAUGGAUGAUGUGGACAAAUUCACGAAAGAAACAGAGAAAAGAGUGAUGGAGAAAAAAUUGAAAAAUAUGAAUGAGGAAAUGAACCAGAUCUCUGACUUGGCCACACCUGAGCUUGAAGCUGAGGUGAUCAAAUUGAAUUCUGAGAUGUUUAAUUUGAAGGAGGAGAAGAAACACUGGGAGAAGGAAAGAGAGGAGCUGAAGACGGAGAAGAAACAGUGGGAGAAGGAAAGAGAGAAGCUGAAGGAGGAGAACAAGAAGACAGAGUGCAUGCUCUUUGACCUUCUGAAAGUUUGCAAUGCUAACAAAGAGAAGCUUAUGAAGAUCAAGCAGAUUGUUGGACAACUGUAAUAUGGUCAAAUAUGGUGUUGUAAUCCUUAAUUUGAACCAGUAGUGUUGAACCUUUAUGUGGUGAACUAUGUUGCUGUAAUGGUAUUGUUGAACCAGUAGUGUUGAA